AGCCUUGGAAUCUGACUCCAUAGGUCUUCAUAUUCAUGUGUGAGAUGUGCCUCUUUCAAACCUUGUUACAACUUUGGCACAUUACCCAUCUGAUG
ensembl:snoRNA